GACGAACCGAGCGAACGUUGUUCGGAAUCACUGGGCUUAAAGGGCGCGUAGGCGGGUGCUCAAGUCUGUGGUGAAAUCCUCCGGCUCAACCGGAGAACUGCCAUGGAUACUGGGUGCCUCGAGGGUGGUAGGGGUAUGCGGAACUAUCGGUGGAGCGGUGAAAUGCGUUGAUAUCGAUAGGAACUCCGGUGGCGAAGGCGGCAUACUGGACCGCUUCUGACGCUGAGGCGCGAAAGCCAGGGGAGCGAACGGG
rnacentral:rRNA from 1 species